CGCCGCCCGCCUUGCGCUACUGGAGGUGGAGCUUAGGAUUGACAUCUCGCGCCUGCCUGUCCCUUCCCCGCAGCCGCAAUAGCCCCGCCUUCCCGACUUGUCCAUAAGGCCUAAAUACGCGUGUUGCCGACAUUUUAACACCAGGCGACAACCAUGACAGCAUCAGACAAGAAUGGGGGUCAGUGCUUUUGUCUACAUUGGAAGAUGGCGACGGGCAGGGUGUGAGAAAAUGGCCGCCUGAGUCACACGUCUUGCCGAGUAUUCCUGAAAGAGUGGGGAAGGAAGAGAGAAAGAAGGACAGAAAUGUGGAUUAGCUGCCUCUUGUAUGCAUCCAG